AGUGAACGCUGGCGGCGUGCCUAAUACAUGCAAGUCGAACGAAGUGUCGCACGGGUGUGUAAUACAUAGUUAAUCUGCCCUACAUAGAGGAACAACAGUUGGAAAAGCCUGCUAAUACCUCAUAUUGUAGGAUGAGAAUAUAUCGUAUCAGCUAGUUGGUAAGGUAAUGGCUUACCAAGGCUAUGACGCGUAACUGGGCUGAGAGGAUGAUCAGUGACAUUGGAACUGAGACACGGUCCAAACUCCUACGGGAGGCAGCAGUAAGGAAUAUUGCGCAAUGGGUGAAACCCUGACGCUGCUACGCCGCGUGGAGGAUGACACUUGUCGGAGCGUAAACUCCUUUUAUCAGGAAAGCGGUACCUGAUGAAUAAGCACCGGCUAACUCCGUGCCAGCCGCCGCGGUAAUUC
rnacentral:rRNA from 1 species